UACGUAGGGGGCAAGCGUUGUCCGGAAUCAUUGGGCGUAAAGAGCGUGUAGGCGGCUCGGUAAGUCCGCUGUGAAAGUCCAGGGCUCAACCCUGGAAUGCCGGUGGAAACUGUCGAGCUAGAGUCCGGAAGAGGCGAGUGGAAUUCCUGGUGUAGCGGUGAAGUGCGCAGAUAUCAGGAGGAACACCAAUGGCGAAGGCAGCUCGCUGGGACGGUACUGACGCUGAGACGCGAAAGCGUGGGGAGCAAACAGG
rnacentral:rRNA from 1 species